UUCCUGGUUGAUCCCGCCGGACCCCACUGCUAUCGGGAUAGGACUAAGACACGCUAGUCAAGCGCUCGCCAGCCAAAGGUGAGUGCGGCGUACAGCUCAGUAACACGUGGCUAACCUGCCCUUGGGACGAGGACACCCCCGGGAAACUGGGGCUAAUCAUCGAUAGGUGAAGAAGUCUGGAAUGCCUCUUCGCCCAAAGGACGUUUGCGCCAUGCUCGCAGACGCCGCCCAAGGAUGGGGCCGCGACCGAUCAGGUUGUUGGUGAGGCAACGGCUCACCAAGCCUUUUACCGGUGCGGGCCGUGGGAGCGGGAGCCCGGAGAUGGGCACUGAGACAAGGGCCCAGGCCCUACGGGGCGCAGCAGUCGCGAAAACUUUGCAAUACACGAAAGUGUGACAGG
rnacentral:rRNA from 1 species